GGAGAGAAAGGAGAAUAACACACUUUCUUCACUUUAGCCUCUUCUCAAAACAUUCAGUAGGGAGCUAGUACAAGAAAAAGAAAAAUGGUAUUUAUGACUUGAAAUCCUACAUGGCUCUCCAUGCCAACGCAAUGCAGAGAUCCCACAGUCUGACCUGCUGAAAUAGCCGUCUAGCUUUCAGGGGCCGCAGACUAAUAGCUCCCAGAGGGCAAAGCUGUGAUUAUGCCAACAGCCGUCAAGAGGAACCAUCUGGAAAAUUCCACUCAUUCUGCUACAUGGCUGAGUUGUGGCAGCAGAUCCCGCCCCUCUCCACACCCAGUUAUGAAGGAAACAUGAAUAGUAGUGCAGAAAGUCAGUUUCCAGCAUGCUGCAGAGCUGACCCUGAAAAAUACAUUUCUUUCUUGGAUCCAUUCCCUUGUCCAAAUCCCUUGAUCAUGAGCCAACUGCCUGUGAUUUGAUACUUUUCUACCCAACUCAUCUCAGUGGGAGAACAAAGGACAAAGUUUAGACACUUGGGGGAUGCUGUGAGUGCCCUGCCCACAUCCCCUGAGGGCAUUCUCUGAGGAGCUAGAGCUGGCCCCAGUCGCAACCUCAACCAAUGAGGAACAAGGGCGCUGGAUAGAUGUGCCUUGUGCCUCAAGUCAAUAUGAUAACUAAGAGGCAAGUCCUACACAGUCUCUUAGGGGUCUCCAGGGGCACGGAGCUUCAGCUGCCCAGAGCAGUGCCCUUUAUGGAUUUUCUUCCUUUCUCUGUCUUACUUCCCCCUUCCUUCACCACACUUCCUGGAAUCACGUUCCAAAUAAACUACUUCCACCCAAA